rnacentral:rRNA from 1 species
GAUGAACGCUGGCGGUGUGCCUAACACAUGCAAGUCGAGCGACAGGACGAGAAGAUCGCUCCCUUGCUGUUAGCGGCGGACGGACGGGUAACAAAUGGAUCACAUACUUCUAUUACUGGGAUAAUAUCGGGGAACCGGUGACACUAAUGGCUGAUAUUUUGUACGGCUUGGAUCAAAAGAUCUUGAGGCUUUUGCCGUUUCUAUUAGCUGGUUUCGGGCUGCAUUAGCUAGUUGGUAAGGUAACGGCUUACCAAGGCAACGAAGCGUAGCUGACCUGAGAGGGUGAUCGGCCACACUGGAACUGAGACACGGUCCAGACUCCUACGGGAGGCAGCAGUGGGGAAUAUUGCGCAAUGGGCGAAAGCCUGAUCGAGCAAUACCGCGUGAGUGAAGAAGGCCUUCGGGUCGUAAAGCUCUGUUGUUGGGGAAGAACAGAAGCAUGAUUAACUGUGCACAUCUUGACGGUACCUAAACAGAAAGCCACGGCUAACUUCGUG